rnacentral:rRNA from 1 species
AGCUUCAGUAGCGUAUAUUAAAGUUGUUGCAGUUAAAAAGCUCGUAGUCGCAUUUCUGGCGAGAGGAUCCGGUCCGACCUUUUGGUGGGUUCUUGGGUCUCUUUCGCCAUCCUUGAGUGGUCCGUUCUGGCAUUAGGUUGUCGGAGCGUCAGCCGCUCAUCGUUUACUGUGAGAAAAUUAGAGUGUUCAAAGCAGGCUUAUGCCGUUGAAUAUAUUAGCAUGGAAUAAUAAGAUAGGACCUCGGUACUAUUGUGUUGGUUUGCGCACCAAGGUAAUGAUGAACAGGGACAGUUGGGGGUAUUUGUAUUUCGUUGUCAGAGGUGAAAUUCUUAGAUUUACGAAAGACAAACUACUGCGAAAGCAUUUACCAAGGAUGUUGUCA